UUUCUUCGGAUUCCUCACAAGACUCUUCACUUUACUCGGCAAAUCUUCCAAAGGGAUUUGAAUCAUCUUGUUUUUAGCACUAGAUGGAAGACGAGGGAUUCCAGCCUUAUCCUUGUCCUUCUCAGUUCUAAUAUCAAUCAAGACAUAAUUCUUAGAACACAUAUUGUCCAGUGUUUGAGCAGGAGUUAGUUCACCCUUGUAACCACGAAAGCUGAAAGAGAGAGCGGAGAAGACAGGGGGAAGUAGAAGAUAUGCCAGGAAUAAUGUGCCACCAGCCACUGCAAUAACAGCUGGAUCAGUUGAUGAAAUGGUUUCAACUGUGGAUGUGGCAAUUGGUUUGGCCCCUUCGAUCACCUUGGAUGUCUGUUGAGCUGCAUCAACUACUGUCUUAGCUGCAGUCAUCACUGGCUCAGAGUCCAUGCCAGCACUCUGCAUUGCCUCUUGGGCUUUCUUAGUGGCAUCCGAUAUGACAGGAGAAGCAUUCUUUAAAACUUCCUCUCCUGCCUGCUUUACUAAAGGUAAUGCUGCAUCAAUCCCGGGUUUCACAAAUUCAAUCACGGGCCCAAUCACUCCGCUUACAGUAUCAAAGAUGUUCGAACCAACCUCUUGCGCUUGAUUAACUACCGAUUCUACCUGAUUAAGGGAAGAGACGAUGUCUUCCUUGGGUAAGUUGAUUGCUCUUGCUUCAUGGGUCGCAGUGAAAAGUGGAAAGAGGAAAAGUGCAG
rnacentral:misc_RNA from 1 species